UUUUUAGUGGCGAACGGGUGAGUAACACGUGAGAAUCUGCCCUUAGGAAGAGGAUAACAUUUAGAAACAUUUGCUAAUACUCUAUAUGCCUUGCGGUGAAAGAAUUUAUUCGCCUAAGGAGGAGCUCGCGUCUGAUUAGCUAGUAGGUGGGGUAAAGGCCUACCUAGGCGACGAUCAGUAGUUGGUCUGAGAGGACGACCAGCCACAUUGGAACUGAGACACGGUCCAGACUCUUACGGGAGGCAGCAGUGAGGAAUUUUCUGCAAUGGGCGCAAGCCUGACAGAGCAAUACCGCGUGAGGGAUGACUGCCUACGGGUUGUAAACCUCUUUUCUCAAGGAGGAAGAUCUGACGUUACUUGAGGAAUAAGCAUCGGCUAACCCUGUGCCAGCAGCCGCGGUAAUACAGGGGAUGCAAGUGUUAUCCGGAAUUAUUGGGCGUAAAGCGUCUGCAGGUUGAUAUGUAAGUCUUUUGUUAAAACUUUGAGCUUAACUCAAAUUCCGCAAAAGAAACUAUUUAUCUUGAGUAUGGUAGAGGUAAAGGGAAUUUCCAGUGGAGCGGUGAAAUGCGUAGAUAUUGGAAAGAACACCAACAGCGAAGGCACUUUACUGGGCCAUUACUGACACUCAGAGACGAAAGCUAGGGUAGCAAACGGGAUUAGAUACCCCGGUAGUCCUAGCCGUAAACGAUGGAUACUAGAUGUUGCGUACUUUUAUAGUAUGCAGUGUCGUAGCUAACGCG
rnacentral:rRNA from 4 species